AGUGAACGCUGGCGGUAGGCCUAACACAUGCAAGUCGAACGGCAGCACAGUAAGAGCUUGCUCUUACGGGUGGCGAGUGGCGGACGGGUGAGGAAUACAUCGGAAUCUACUUUUUCGUGGGGGAUAACGUAGGGAAACUUACGCUAAUACCGCAUACGACCUACGGGUGAAAGCAGGGGAUCUUCGGACCUUGCGCGAUUGAAUGAGCCGAUGUCGGAUUAGCUAGUUGGCGGGGUAAAGGCCCACCAAGGCGACGAACCGUAGCUGGUCUGAGAGGAUGAUCAGCCACACUGGAACUGAGACACGGUCCAGACUCCUACGGGAGGCAGCAGUGGGGAAUAUUGGACAAUGGGCGCAAGCCUGAUCCAGCCAUACCGCGUGAGUGAAGAAGGCCUUCGGAUUGUAAAACCCUUUUGUUGGGAAAGAAAAGCAGCAGGUUAAUACCCCGCUGUUCUGACGGUACCCAAAGAAUAAGCACCGGCUAACUUCGUG
rnacentral:rRNA from 1 species